AGGAAGUCCCCAGGAUACAGCAGGGGCUCCAGGAACAUGAUUUCAUUUGAGGCUAUGGAGGAUGGUGAGCAGAGGACGAGGCGGAGGGAUUUCAGACACACAUGGCGACUGCAGUUCCUACGUCUGGAUAGUUAACCAGAGUUGAUUUCAGUAAUCUAGUGCUAAAAGUGCAGAGCGAGAGCAGAGGCUUCUCCAAACGCUUUUGCAUGGUGGCUUUUUGAUGUGGCCUGUGUGCUUUUGUUCCUGGAGAGCCGUACAUAAUGAAACAUCAAAGGCCCGGCAUGAUCCUUAUGAAGGCCAGGCUGAGCGGACACUUAAAUCAUGCACGCUGCUAAAGUCUACAGUCAGCAUCAGCCCAUGUCUACCUUCCUCUAAUGAAGAUCAGCCUACCUCUGGACCUACUGAACAGCAGCUAGCAGAAGACAGCAAGAAUCACCUCAUAUGCAAUCAAUUCUAUACUCAGUAAAGUAAAGUGUUCUGAA